rnacentral:rRNA from 1 species
GACGAACGCUGGCGGCGUGCUUAACACAUGCAAGUCGAACGAAGUGGCGAACGGGUGAGUAACGCGUAAUCAACCUGCCCUUCAGAGGGGGACAACAGUUGGAAACGACUGCUAAUACCGCAUACUGAAGGAGGGGAUUGCGUCUGAUUAGCUAGGUGGAGGGGUAACGGCCCACCAAGGCGACGAUCCCUAGCUGUGCUGAGAGGAUGAGCGGUCACACUGGAACUGAGACACGGUCCAGACUCCUACGGGAGGCAGCAGUGGGGAAUAUUGGACAAUGGGCGAAAGCCUGAUCCAGCCAUGCCGCGUGUGUGAAGAAGGUCUUCGGAUUGUAAAGCACUUUAAGUUGGGAGGCGUUACCAACAGAAUAAGCACCGGCUAACUUCGUGCCAGCAGCCGCGGUAAUUC